ACCAGAUCAUGAUGAACCCGAA
rnacentral:siRNA from 1 species